AAAAAGGGCUUCUGUCGUGAGCGUCACAUGCAGGGCAACUCGAUUGUUCUGCGUGCCGAAUCGACAUCAAGAGAUUUUUUCGGAAGCAUAAUUUUUUGGUAUUUGGGCAGCACAAAACUCAAGCUCCU
rnacentral:snRNA from 1 species